GAGUUUGAUCCUGGCUCAGGACGAACGCUGGCGGCGUUUUAACACAUGCAGGUCGAACGGUGAAGCUCCGCUUGCUGGAGUGGAUCAGUGGCGAACGGGUGAGUAACACGUGAGCAACCUGCCCCAAACUCUGGAAUAAGCGCUGGAAACGGCGUCUAAUACUGGAUAUGAGAUCAAACCGCAUGGUUAUGGUCUGGAAAGUUUUUCGGUUUGGGAUGGGCUCGCGGUCUAUCAGCUUGUUGGUGAGGUAAUGGCUCACCAAGGCGACGACGGGUAGCCGGCCUGAGAGGGCGACCGGCCACACUGGGACUGAGACACGGCCCAGACUCCUACGGGAGGCAGCAGUGGGGAAUAUUGCACAAUGGGCGAAAGCCUGAUGCAGCCGACGCCCGCGUGAGGGAUGACGGCCUUCGGGUUGUGAACCUCUUUCAGCAGGAAGAAGCGAAAGUGACGUACCUGCAGAAAGAAGACCCGGCUAACUACGUGCCAGCAGCCGCGGUAAUACUAGGGUGCGAAGCGUUGUCGGAAUUAUUGGGGCCGUAAGAGCUUGUAGCGGUAUGUCGCGUCUGGCCGUGAAAAACCCCGAGCUCAACCUGGGCGUGCGGGUGGGUACCGGGCCAGGCUAGAAUGUGGUAAGGGAGACUGGAACUCUUGGUCGGUGAAUGCGCCGAUUCACGAAGAACACCCGUUGGCGAAGGCCC
rnacentral:rRNA from 1 species